AGUGACUUUUUGUGCACCCCUGAGUCCAGCUCACUCAGCCACCUUGUGUUAUUUGUCCUACACUGAUCUUGCACUGUUCUGGAAACUGCUUUUCGUGAUGCCACUCCUGCUGCCUGAGUAAACCAAUAAACCAUUUUAACCAGAAUUACAGACCAGUGUCAGGAGGCAGGAGAUCAGCAGUCAAUUAUGGCAGGACAAAACAUUUUUAUAAUAAAUAAAAAUACUUGAAAUAAAAUAUUGAAAAAUU